AGAGAAAAAGUGUGGAAAAUCAAGGAAAACAAGUGAAAAAGGUAGGAUUUUUCAACUUAAGCUUGAAAUNNNNNNNNNNNNNNNNNNNNNNNNNNNNNNNNNNNNNNNNNNNNNNNNNNNNNNNNNNNNNNNNNNNNNNNNNNNNNNNNNNNNNNNNNNNNNNNNNNNNNNNNNNNNNNNNNNNNNNNNNNNNNNNNNNNNNNNNNNNNNNNNNNNNNNNNNNNNNNNNNNUUAUGUUAGUAUUUUUAGUUAGUUUAGCAUAUUUAGAAACAAAAUAACAAGAAAAGAAUUUAUUUUCUCCCACAACCAUUAAUGGCCGAAUUGACCAUGUAUUGAGUGAGGAUGAGUUUAAUUUUUAUUCUAGGAGAAUUGGUUAAGAAAUGAUGAAUUAUGGUGUGGAAAAGUAGUAGGAAAAAUCACGGUGUUAAUGCACCAUUAUUGGCCAAAAAUUUUAAGAAGAAAAGUGAAGAUAGUUUUGCCAAAUUUUAGGUUAUUUGAUUUGAAUUUGGUGAAUUAAGAUAUUGGAAAAGAAUUGGAACGAUUUGGAGUAAUUUGGGAUUAAAUUGGACGAGUUAGUAAUUUAAUCGGGUGAUAAGAUGAAUUAGGCCAAUACCGAGUUUAGAUAGUUACCAGUGCAUUUUUGCAUUCCAUAUUAUUCAUUAAUAGUCUAAAUUAGUUUAAUUUCAAUUUAGUACCAAUUUGGUGAAUUUCUUGAUUUUGUACUGUGUCAAGGUGGUGAGUCCUCCGAUAAAGGCAAGGAAAUUGCAUCCGAUGACCAGUAGACAGAGUGCUUCGAAAGUCUGCAUUCUAGACAUUGUGAGUAAACUUACUAUCAUUUUAAUUAUCUAGGGUGAUUUUUAGAUGAUUUCAUUAAUUCUAUGGAAAAAUGGAUUUAAAAAGGUAAAUUUUCAUGUUUUAUAAAUAAAGGUGUUCCAAUGAAAUUAAAUUAAAAAUUGUUUUGAAAUUAAUAGUGAUUUUGAAAAAUAGAAUACACGGGACUGUUAAUUGUGACAAUUUGAUUGUUUAAAUUGAUUGGCUUAUGAUAAAUCGGGCAAGAUUGACUAGUUGGCAAUUGUAUUGAAAUACGAAUUGUUUGGUUGCCUUGAAAGACUACGAAUUACAAAAUUGCCAUAUCAUGUUAUUGAGUUUUAUUGUAUGGUGGAUUAUAUAUUAAUUAAUCAUUGCAGUAGGGAGUUUCUGUGAAUCAACCUUUUAGAGGGGCACGACAAACCCUAUUAUAUUCUUACCUCGAACGGAGAGGCGCGUAAGGUAUCUUCUGGGGUAAAGCUUAGGGUUCACUUCACGCCAAACCACCACGUGAGGGGGAACUCAGCCAAUGCCAAGGAAUGGCUAUGUUUUCAAAACAAAAACAUGAUUUAUGUGAAAUGUGAAUUUUAAUAGCAUUGGCGGUCUCGGUGGGAUGCCUCGGCCAAGGUGUUCUUGAGAAUGGAUUUAUGGCAUAAGCCUAAUUUUUAUGAGAUUCAUAAGCCUCUUUACGUAUUUUAAAUGAAAUGUAUUCUAAUGCCGUGACCCAGUUUACGAUGAUUUACUUUAUUAUCUCCAUGUACUCAACUCUAGAUGUUUAUGAUGAUGUUUGUUUACUCAUUGGGAUUUUAUAAUCUCACCACCCUCCUUUCCCCCCAUUUCAGGUUCAGUAUAGACUGUAGAUGGCUGAUCUCAUUGAGGACUACCGUUGGAUCUACAUUUUCCAAACCGUAGGUUCACAGUCCUCUUUACUUUUAUUUAUUCGGGGGCCCUCUUGUUAUUGUAAAUUAAAUUAAAUAUUUUGGCUUACUGUAUUACAGUAUGUAUAAAUUUAUUUAGCUUUUACACUAUAAAAAUUAUUCACGUAUAACUCUAUAAAUAUUGUUUUAUAAGAAAAUAGAAUAUUUUACUUAAUAUUUCUUUUAUUUUCUUAUUAUAUUCAAAUAACCAUAAUUUCUUUUUAAAUGAAGAUUUUAGACUUUUAAACUCAUUUUGAAUAUGAAUUAUGUGUUUUGUACUUGUAUAUUACGUUUUAGCCAAUUUCAAAAUUUUAUAGAAAAAUGACCAAAAUACCCCUGUGAGACGAAAAUUAAUAUUUUAUUUGUUUUUAGUUGGAAACAGUUUAAAAUCUUUUAGAACACAAUAUUUGAUAAUGGUUGCUCACAAGGGAAAUGAGAAACUGAUAGUAAAGCCUUGCGAGGUUUUGGGUUGACAUUCCGGGCAAUAAGUGUCUACCGAGACACCGCGGUGGUUGUCACGGGCUCGAGGGGAGUACCAGGUCGUGACAACAUGUGUGGGAAUUGACUAGCUCUAGUAAUUUUAGUGACCUAAAGAUAAUAAGUUACAAAAGUUGUGUUAAAUUCUCAUGACCAUUCUUACGUGAAAGGUUCUCUAAUUAUAUGUUAUGCAUUCAACCUAAAAGCAUUUAGAUGAUGAUCUGAUUGGACUCUUUGAUUUUUCUCAUUUAUGAUUUUGUAGUAUUUUAUUUAUCCAAUUUAUUCUAAUUAAGUUAUAUUGUUUAAAUAUUUAAUUACUCUUUUUUGUGCAAAUAACAAAAUGGCCACCAUUGAGAUUUUGACUAAGUCAAACUUCAAGAAAUGGAAAAGCAAUGUGGAGUUUGCCAUUAUGAAAAUAGACAUAGAUCUAGUUAUGAAAGUAAAUAAAUAUGCAAAACCUAAUACUUAAAGUUUUAAGAAUUAUAAAAAAGCCUCUGAGGCAUGGGAGAGAUUUGGAAAAUUGUAUCUACUUUUUGGAGGUCUGUUCCUAUACACCCAUUAAGAGGACUUUUUGAUACCACUAAUGUAAAGGAGUUUUUAAUCACAAUAACACUUAGGAUUAAAGUGUCAACAAAUAUUGAAAUUAACACUUUUUUUAAAGGACGUUAAUCCAUGAGUUAUUAUGGAAUAAGAAGAAUUUAGGGAGUACAUCAUUAUGACAGUCUACUAAACAUAAUACUCCUAAACAAGUUAAGAUAAAAAGGAAAAACUCGAUCAAUUUGUUAGUGUAAGGAAUUUAAAAGUUGUAACUUCAAUGUUUAUAUUGCAAGAAAAUGGGACUUAAGAAAUAAGAAUGUUUGAAAUAUAAAACUUGACUAAAGAAACUUGAGCAUGAAGGUAACUCCUUGAUUCUUGUUAUACAUGAAUCCAACUUAAUUGAAAGCCUUCUCUAGUUUUUAAUAGCUAGAAAAUGAUACAACUAAUCAAUUUGCUUUAUAAGGAUUCAUAAACAAGAAGAAACCAAAUAAGAAAGAGUUUAAACUCCUGGUUGGCAACAAUAUAGACAUGGAAGUUAAGCUUGCAGAACCAAUUUGCUGAAUUUAAGUACUAGUAGUACACUUUGAUUGAAAAACACUUUUUAUAUAUGUACCAUCAUUUAGAUGGAGUUUAAAUUUUGUUUUUGCAUUACUACUGGUUAUAUUUUUGAAAUAAAGAAUUAAAUUAUUAAGAUAUUAACAAGUGUUCUUGCUUUUCCAAUGUUAUUUGUCACACGAAUUAUAUAGAAUGUGUUUAAUUCCUACUAAAUAUUUUUGUCACUUUAUAUAAUGUUGAAAGAGUUGUCACAUGGAUUCAUGUCUUUUUACAUGCCAACUUGAGUAGAUCUUUUUGGCAAGAUAUUUGUCCAUGGAUGUUUAUUUCUUUACAUUCUUGGCUAGUUGGUCUCAACUUUUGGGGUCAUUUUCUUUUAAGAGCAAAGCAUAUGGGAGUUUUUUAUUAUACUUGCAUGAGUGUUAGUUAGGUUCUUUACACAAUCGGAAUAGAAGCUUACAUGAUCAAACACAUAGUUUAGUGAGAAAUGGAGGAAGCAAUAAGGCAUGUGCAAACUUCAUCAACUAUUCCUAUCAUUGGAAUCCUUUUACCCUUAAGAGGCGGUUGGUAUGUGGAGAGUGAAUCACUUUACAGGGAUUUUAAUUAAUGGGAAGGACUUUGCACCGUUUGGUAUGUGAAGUUGUUGGGAAUGUAACUUUACAUUGGUAUCAAAUUGAACCCAUGAGAAGGAAAGUGAUUCCCUUUUGAAUUGGAAGGAAUGUUACUUUCCCUUGAUUGAGGGAAAGUAAAUUGGACCAAAAUGACAAAAAUGUUGGGAUGAGCCUUGCAGCCAAUUGGGAUUGGUUAAGGCUUGAUUCCAAUCAUGCAACAGUAUCAUUCAUAUUGAAUGAUUAGAGGUUUUCCUUCAUCAAUAAGACAUCAAUUAUAAUGAGUUAUAAGUCUAAUUGGAUGAAGUCCAUGAGAUUAAUAUACCUUGCAAGGAAACUAUAAUGGGUUGCAGUUAUAAGAUUCUUAUGCAUAAAGCAUAAUCUCAAAAUGUUCGUGGUCAAUGUAUCAUUGAGACUGGGCAUCAAUGAUGCUUAGAGAUUGGUAUGUUCUAUGUUCCUUACUUUGGAAGAAAGCAAUCGAUCUCAAGAUUGAAGUAUAGAGAUACUUGGAACUAGAAUAUAGGUGCUUGCCUAGGAGAGCAAUUUCAUUGAACAUGACCCGCCAUGAGAAGUGUAUUUGGUAAUACACUCUAGUGUUUAUGCAACACUUCUCAUGUAUCAGUUGUGUAAAUACUCCCUAGACUUGAGACACCAGGUUGUUUUAUGUGUGGAGUGUUAUGCUUUGAUUCAUCCCCAUGGGUGCCUAACCAAGGAUGCAAAAUAGGAUUUUUUUGGGUAUAGUAUGAAGCAUGUGAAGGUAAAUGAGUGUUCAAGAUAAAAAUCAUCACCUCAAGUGUGUUAGAGGACAUAUCCUAUUAGUUCUUAGUUAACAUUAGCUUAUUGAAGUCCUUGGCCAAGGCGACAUGGAGAUUAUGAAAAAGGAUUCAUAACUUUCUAUAAAGCUAAUGCUAUAAUUGCAGGAACAAAUAUGGAGGUCAAAAAGAGUAGACACUGUACCAAGCUCUUAUCAUCUCCGGGAUAUAUGAUGAAGGAAUGAAUUACACUAAUAUACUGUACACUGAAAGGUUGUCAAAGAACCCUUUGACUCUCCCAACAAUUGGGUGGCCAUAAUGCAUUGCUAGAUGCCAAUCUUGGUCUAUGGAAAUGAUAUAAAUUAAUUGAUUGAAAUUUAUAUUAAUCAAUUAAGUCAUUAAUCAAUUCCAUUGCCAACAUGUUGGGAACCUAAUGGGUCACACACAAUGAUUGUAUUUGAAUUAAAUUGAGAGAGUUAUGAUUUAAGUUAGACUUAAAUCACAUGCUAAGUAAUCAACUUCUAUAAACUUAAUUAAACUCUUUUAAUUAAGUUUUAGGCAUAAUUAUAAAUAACUAUAAUUAUAAGCCCUUGAUUGCAAAAUAUAAAGGAAAUUAAUUUUGAUUUUAAUUUUCAAGGACUUAAUUAAAAGAGUUUAAUUAAGUAAUGGGCCCAAUAUUAUAAUGUGUUAUAAUAUUGAGGGCUUAAUUGCAAAAUUGAAGUUAUUUUAACCUAACUAUAUAAGUCACCUUUUAACUAUUUUCAUAUGAGAGUUUUUCACAAUUGAAGAAAACGAGUUUUUGUCAGAAAAGAAAAACAUUUUCUUCUUUGCCACCACUCCCUUUGUGUGAAAGAGAAAUUUGCUUAUGAAGCAAUUUUUAAGAAAGGUUUGGCUAAGAUUGUGAAAAAGAAGAAAAGGGCAAUUGUUGUCCUUUUUGCUAGCACAAAAUAUAGUUAAAAACUCCUUCCUUUGUUGAAGGUUCAAGUGCAAUCGUGUGUACUACCAUUGGAGGCCAAGCACUUGAUUGGCUAGGGUUUUUGCUCCUUGUGGUGUUCGCGGGAUUGCUUCGGAAAGUGCCAUCGUGAUUACAAAAUUACAUGGCAAGGUAACUUUCUAAAUAAUAAUUUAUUUUGUGCUUUUAUGUGUUAAAUAUCACCAAGGUGAUCCAUGGGUGGAGGCAUGUCUUGAUUGUUUAGUUAUAAAUUUUAAUUUUCUUUCCACUGCGUAUUUUGAGCAUGCCGUUCAUAGCCAUCCCAUCAAAAAAGCCCCACAAGCUGAACUUUUUCGAGAAGAGAAGGGGCACCAUUUGAAUCUAGUGAUGGGAGCAAGGACGAAGGAGAAAGAAAAAGGACGAAAAGAAGAAGAACCCAUCACUAGAGUGCAAGGAGGAAUGAGAGAAAAAAAAAGAAAAAAAAAGGAAGAAGAGCCCAUCACUAGAGAGUAAUAAGGAAUGAGAGAAGAAAAAGAAAAAAAAAAGGAAAAGUCCAUUAGAAAGGACGAUGGGUGCAAGAAGAAAUAAGAGAAAAAAAUGAAAGAAAGAAAAAAAAAAGAAAAGGGUGGAUUGUGUGGCAAUUUAACUAAUUAAUUAAUAUUUUUAUAAAAUAAUUUAAAUUAAUGAAUUUAAUUCUUUAAAAUUUAAUUAAUUUAUUAAAAAUAAAUAUUUAAUAAUUUUACUUUUUUAAUAUUAAAUAAUUAGUAUUAAAAUAUUAUGUUUUUAUACAAUUAUUUAUUAUUUUAAGAAAUAAAGUUGAAAAAAUAAAAAAAAUUCAUUAAAAAAGAAUAUAGGUUAUUCAAAUGUAUAUUUUCAUACAUAAGGAUAAUUUUGUAAAUUUAUCCUACAUUCCCAGUAAAGUGCUUCUAAACCAAACACUACAAUGUAAUCACAUUUUUAACAAUCAUCACUUUCCCAUGUUAUACCAAACGCUACAAAAUUAUCUUCCCAGCAAUAAUAUUCCCAGCAAUCACAUACCUAGUAAUCACACUUCUAGUAAAAUACCAAACACAACCUUAAUGUCUUCAAUGUUAAUGUGGAUGCUGCUUUUUUUGGAAAGGAUGAGUCUAUUAGUUUGCUAAUGCUGGUGCUUGGCUUUGGUGGUAAUAUUUAGCUAUAUGCUCUGCAAGAAUUUCCCAUUCAAUAGACUUUCUCAUGUACAGAUGCGUGCUACCUUGUUAAGCUUAAAGUUGGCCUAUCAUCAUGAUUCUAGUUAGUGGUAAAUUCAAGAUUUUACAUGGGAUAGCUAAAAGUUAUUCAUAUAAGAUCAUAAAUCAAGUCAAUAAUUUGAUUCGAAAUAAAAAAUGAAUUACUUUUAAAAUAAAAUUAAAUUAUAAAAUAAAAUUUCAUAACAAUGUAAAUAUAAGUUUUCAAAUUUACCAAUAUAAAUAGACAUAAAACAAAAAAAAAUUAAAUUGUCACAUUAGGUAUCGUAAGUGUUGGCUCUAUUAGUUUUUGAUGAUAAUAAAACAUUCUCAUUCAUUUGUGUUUAAUAUUUCUACUUGAGUGUGCAGGACAAGAAUUGUAUGCCAAUGAUAAAUAAAUUAUUCCAAGAGACAUAUAAAAAAUUAUAUGUAUAAGAAGCCACAAUUAAUCAACAAAAUAAAAGCUCCUUAGUUGAAUAAUAAAGGAUUAGUUAGCUAAAAUUUAAAUAAGAAGUUGGCGGGUUCAAGAGUAUUGAGAAACAUAAACGACUUAGUCAACCAAGAAAUAGGUUAGUCGACUAAGAGUCUACUACCAGAAAUCUGGACUUCAAGACAAAACCAACUUAAUCCACUAAGAAGAAAGUUAGUUGACUAAGUGCUCACUACCAGAAGCAAAGAACAGAAGACAAAAAUAACUUAGUUGACUAAGAUAUCUGUAGUCAACUAAGAGCAUUUCGCCAGAAAAUUUGAAUUGUGCACUAGAAGACAGAUUAACAGCUAGAAUUGCAACAAAACUGUUUCCAACUGUUAAAAACCGCCUAACACCUAUUAGAGUUGAUUUUCCAAGUAUUUAAGAGGAUUCCAACAGCUAGAAAUGUAAUUAAGGCUUCCAAGUCCAAAAGAGCUAAAAAAAACCAGCAAAUACUCUCUGCUCAUUUACUGCACUCAACUUCUAUCUUUGUAAUUGUGAUAUGCACUUCACUUUGUACCACUUAGAUCAGCCUUGUGAUCAUAGGAACACUCUUAUCACUUCUCUCCUUGUAUUCUUAGAGUGAGCGGGUCACUCUAAGGGAUUGAUUUAAGCUAGGAUUGCUUGAUUAAGUAUAGGUUCUAACUUAGCCUUGAAAAGUUAAGUGUUGAGUUUUAUUUGAUCUUGGUAAAAACUAUUGUGAAAGGUUUUGGCUAAGCCUGGUAAAAGCCAUUGUAAAAGCUCGGUGAAAGCUUGUAAAUUUCACCAUUCUUAAUAGAUUGAUUGGAAAAUCCUUAGUUGAACAAUCAAGGUAGUGGAUGUAGGUCUUAGACUGAACCACUAUAAAUAUUUAUGUAUUAUCUCUACUAUUUUAGUUUGUCAUUCAUCUUUAAAUUUCUCUUUUAUCUUGCUUUGGUCCUCAAUUUGAAAGUAACCUUUGUAAAGAGCCAAGAAAGUGUUAUUCACCCCCCUCUAGCACAUUCAUUUGGGACCAACAAGUGGUUUCAGAGCAAGUUCCCUGUUCUUAAGGUCUAACACCAUUUGGGAAAAUCCAAAUGGCUCUUCAAAAAUCAACAGUGGCUGAGGGAUAAUCAAUAAAUAGACCACUUCUAUUUGAUGGCUCAAAUUACCCAUAUUGGAGUAUUAGGAUGUCAAUAUAUAUUAGAGCAAUAGAUUAUGAGAUGUGGGAUGCCAUAACUGAUGGUCCCUUUAUUCCUUCAACCUUAAAUGUUGCAACCAACGAGAUGAUUCCUAAACCAAGGUCUGAAUGGACCGAAGCUGAAACUAAAAAAGUCUAAACAAACUUUAAGGCAAUCAAUACACUGCAUUGUGCUUUAAAUCCCACUGAAUUCAAUAAAGUGUCAAGCUAUACCACAGCUAAACAAGUGUAGGAUAAACUUAGGAUUAUUCAUGAAGGGACUUCACAAGUUAAGGAGUCCAAGAUAGCCCUCUUAACCCACAAUUAUGAGAUGUUUAAAAUGGAACCUGGUGAAGAUAUCACUAGCAUGUUCGAUAGAUUCACAAACAUCAUAAACAAAUUAACUCAGCUAGGCAAACCAAUUCCUAAGCAUGAAAUCAUUAAAAGACUUCUUAGAAGCCUACCAAAAAAUUGGAAGCCAAAAGUGACUAUUAUCCGUGAAGCUAAGGACUUAAAUGUUAUAACUCUAGAUGAAAUUUGUUGUUCUCUUCUUACUCACGAGCUGAAAAUCAAGGAAGAGGAAAAUGAAGACAAAAGAGAAGCAAAGGAAAAGAAGAAAAAUAUUGCCUUAAAAGCCAGUAUCCUUGAAGAAGAAUUGGAUAGUCUAUCUUGUGAUGAUGAUGAAGAGCUGGCUAUGGUUACAAGAAGGUUCAGAAAACCUAUGGGCCAAAGAAACCGAAGAUUGGCUAGAAUAGGGUAUAAAAGAUAACAUGGCUCUUCAUGGAAAACCAAAAAUAAAAAUGAGUCCAAUAAGAAGGAAGAGCUUAUAUGCUUUGAAUACAAGAAGCCAGGACAUUUCAAGUCUGAUUGCCCCAUGCUAAAGGAGGAAACUCCAAAGAAAAAUAGAAAAUCAAAGAAGGCAAUGGUGGCUGCUACUUGGUCAGAUAAUGAUACUUCAAGUUCUGAUGAUGAAGAAGAAAAGGUGGAAGAAAGAGCUAAUCUGUGUCUGAUGGCAAGGGAUGAUGAAUCUGAGGUAUCUUCAUCCCCUUGAGAUAUUUCAAUUGAUGAAUUACAAGAGGAGUAUGAAUGUCUUUAUGAUGAAUUUGAAAAACUUGCAUCAAAAUACAAAACUUUGAAACGAAAAACUGCAUCACUUGAAACUGAUUUGCAAAAGAUAAAACAUGACGUGAAUUCUGUUUUUGAGUAAAAAAAUUUCUCCAAAUUGAAAUAGAGCAUUCAAAAAUAGAUUUUGAAACUCUAAAAUUUGAAUUGGAAAACAAAAUAAAAGCCUUGCAAAAGGCAGUUAAAGAAAAUGCUGAUCUUAAAAGUUUGAAGAAAGAAACAUCAAAGAGGAGCAUAUACUUUAAGAAAAAUUCUGAUAAUGCCUCAUCUAGAUGUUACAAUUGUGGAAAAUUUGGACAUUUAUCUUAUGACUUCUAUAGAGAUAGAAGCAUACAGAAAACAAGAAAAAUUUGGGUUCCAAAAAGAUCCUAUAUUGCAGCUAACCUUCAAGGACCCAUCAAAAUGUGGGUACCUUUUAAGAAAAACUAAAAAUCCGUUUCGUAGGUUGAGUUGAAUCUAAAAGACACAUGUUCAAGAGCUCAACUAAAGAAGAAGGAACCAUGGUUUAUGGAUAGUGGUUGCUCAAAGCACAUGACUGGAAACGAAAUGUCGUUUACUCAGCUGGACAAGAAAAAGAGAGGUACCAUUUUCUUUAGUGAUGAUUCAAAAGGUAGAAUUUAUGGUAUUAGAACCAUUGGUAAGAACUCUCAAGCUCGAAUUAGUCAUGUGUUGCUGGUUAAAGGUUUGAAACACAAUUUAUUGAGUAUCAGCCAACUAUGUGAUAAAGGUUUAAGGUAUGCUUUGACUCAAAAAAAUGUGAAGUGAUAGAUAUAAGUACUAAUUGUUAGCUUUAAAUUAUUAUAGUUUUGAUUAUGACAAAAUGAUCAAAUUUGCUUGAACAUUAUUUGAGUAAUCUUUGACAAUUUCUUGAAAUGAUUUAACUCCCAUAUAUUUGUUCUUACAUAGACACAAGCUUAACUCUUGAAGUUAUUGAACUAUAUCUAUAAGCUUGUAUGACUUAGGUAUAUUAGUGCUUAUGAUUCUCAUUCAUUAAAGUUUGAUUUAAAGAUUAAAAGAAAAUCUUGAUGCACUCAUUAAGGAGGAGUUUUGAAUGUCUUGUUUAAUGAUGAAAAAGAAAAAGUAGAGAAAGAAGACUAAAUCAAAUAAAGUUAAAUAGGUCUUCAUGUUUAAUUUAUGUGUGUAAUACUCAAUUUUGGUUUUGUUGAAUAUUAUGUAAAGAAAAAUAGAUGCAUUGACUAAGGGGGAGCACUUCAUUAUGCAUAAAGAUUUGAAGCAUUCAUAUUGAACAUAGACAUUGCACUCUUAAUCUAUGAGUGUUUUGUCAUCAUAAAAAAUAAGAGAUAGAGAAUGUUGACUCUAUAUGUUUUUUAUGAUAGCAAAAUAUUCCCUUUCAUAGAUGUCUAAUUAUAUUGUUUAAGUGUGCAGGACAAAAAAUAUAUGCCAAGAAUAAAUCAAUCAUUCAAAGACACAUAUCAAAAAUCAUAUGAAUAAGGAGCCCCAAUUGAUCAAUAAAACAGAAGCCUUUUAGUUGGAUAAUGAAGGGUAUUAGUCAGCUAUAAUUUAAAUUAGAAGUUGGUGGGGUCAAAAGGACUAAGAGACAGAGAAGACUUAGUCAACCAAAAAGUAAGUUAGUCGACUAAAAGCCUACUGCUAGAAAUUUAGACUUCAAGACAGAAACAACUUAAUCGACUAAAAAGGAAGUUAGUCGACUAAAAGCUCACUGCCAAAAACUAGGUUCAGAAAACAAAGACAACUUAGUCAACUAAAAGCGUAGUUAGUCGACUAAGAUCACUCUGUCAAAAAAUUUGAAUUGAAUACUAGAAGACAAAAUAACAGCUAGAAACAGCUAGAUUCUGUCUUCAACGGCCAGAAUUGAUUUUGCAAGUAUUUAAAGCCUCUCCAAUAGUCAAAAAGAAGAGACAGAAACCAUCCAUAGUGAUUUGAGCUUAGAAGACCAAAAACCUUCUCUUUACACUUGUAUUUCACUUCCAUCCUUUGAAAAAGUGUUUGAGCUUAGCUUUGUACAUCUUAGAUCAGCUAGGUAAUCAAUUGUACUUAAUCUUUUCUUCAUUUCUCGAUUACUUAGAGGUUACGUUUGGUUGGCAAAAUAGACAAGAAUGGAAUAGAGUAGUUAUUAUGUGGUAAUAGAAUGAGGUGAGAAUAGAAUAGAAUAGUUAUUGCUUAGUUUGGUACGACAAAGAGAAUAGGACAAGAAUAAUUAUUAUGACUUAUUGUAGUGUUUGGUUGGUAAUAAUAAUUUUGGAACAAGAAAGGAAUAAAAAAUAAAAAGAUAAAAACACCCUUUAUUAUUUAUAUGACUAUUUAUUUUUAUUAGAUUUUUUAAAUAUUAAAAAUCUAGAAUUUAAUUAAAACAUUAAUAAUUAGUAAUUUAAAUAUUAAUAUUUUCUUUUCUUUUUUUUUAAAUAUUAAUAAUUGAUAAUUUAAAAAUUAAUAUUUUAUUCAUAAUUUAAUUAUUUAUAUUUUAAAAUGUUAAUAUUUUAUUUAAUUAAAAUAUUAUUAUGAUCAAUUAUUUUAUUUUAUUUUAUUUUUAAGAAUCAAUAAUUGAUUAUUUAUUUAAAAUAUUAAUAAUAGAUCAUUUAAAUAUUAAUAUUUUAUUAAUAAUUUAAUCAUUAAUAUUUUAUUUAAUUUAAAUGUUAUUAUUAAUUUUUAUUUUAUUUUAUUUUUUAAAUAUUAAUAGUUGGUAAUUUAUUUAAAAUUUUAAUAAUUGAUUAUUUAUUUAUUAAUAUUUUUUUAUAAUUUAAAUGAUAUUAUGCUUAUUUAUUUUUAUUUUAUUUUAUUUUUAAAUAAGAAUAAUUUAUAAUUUAUUUUAUUAAUAAUUGAUAAUUUAAAUAUUAAUAUUUAACUUAUAAUUUAAUAUUAAUAUUUUAAAAUGUUACUAUUUUAUUAAAAGUUGGAAUCAAAGGAGAGAAAGAGGAGAGAGAGAAAAAUAAUAUUUUAUACAAAUAAAGUUGUAAUUUUUUAAAGGGGUAUUUUUGUCUUUAUUAUUUUUUGAGUUUAUUCCUCAACCAUGGAAUAGCUAAUACCAUGAGGGAGGGUGGCAUUAGCUAUUCCUUAGUUUUAGAGGAUUUUGAAGAAUAACCAUUCCUAUGGAAUGGCUAUUCCUUGGACUAUUUUUCAACUAAAUAGAGGAAUCAAAAUUCCUUGGGAAUAAAAAGGGAAUGGCUUAGCCAUUCCCCCAACCAAACAUGCUAAGAGUGUGCAAGGCAUUCUAAGGGAUUUACUCAAGCUUGGAUUGCUUGAUUGAGUGUAUAGGUUCUAACUUAGCCUUGAAAAGUUAGUUGUUGGGUUUUGGUUGAUCUCGUGAAAAACCAUUAUUGUAGGUUGUGGUUGAGCCUUUGAAAAAUCACUUUAGGUUUUGGUUGAGCCCGUGAAAAACCAUUGUGAAAGGUUGUGGUUGAGCCUUUGAAAAAUCACUUUGGGUUUUGGUUGAUCCCGGUAAAAACCAUUGUGAAAGGUUUUUGCUAAGCUUGGUAAAAGCCAUUGUAAAGCUUGGUGAAAGCUUAUGAAUUUCACCGUUCUUAGUGGAUUGAUUGGAAAAUCCUUUGUUGAACAAUCAAGAUAGUGGAUGUAGGUCUUGGAUCGAACCACUCUAAAUUCUGCUGUGUUAUCUACUCUGUUUUUGUUCUUAUUUUCAUUCCUUCUUUUCACUUGCAUUUGUUCUCACUUAGAGCUAAUUUUUGAAAGAGUCAAAUUGUGCUAUUCACCCCACUCUAGCACAUUUACUUGGGACCAACAAGUGGUAUCAAAGCCUAACUCUCAUUUUUAAAGCUUAACAUCUUUAGGGGAGAUCCAAAUGGCUCUAGAAAAAUCUGUUGAUGCUGAGGGUCAAUGCAUUAAUAUGCCUCUUCUAUUUGAUAGAUCAAACUAUCAUUAUUAGAGUACUAGUAUGUCCAUUUAUAUUAAGGCUUAUGACUAUGAGAUAUGAGAUAUCAUUAGCGAUGGUCUUUUCAUUCCUAUGAUUACAAAUUCGGUAAAUGGUGAGAAAACUCCCAAAGAUAGAAAUAAGUGGACUAAAACUGAAAUGAGAAGAGUACAAAUGAACUCUAAAGCCAUGCACACUCUCAUUUGUGCACUUGAUUAUAGAGAAUAUGAUAAAGUGUUCAUGUGCAAAAGUGCCAAGGAAAUUUGGCAAAAAUUAAAAGAGUUAUAUGGAGAAACAAAGAUGCAAAAGGAAUUAGAAGACAACUCUUAUGAGAAUCAAUGCUCAACAAGCAACAUGGCAAAUGCAAAUAAGGAAUCAAGUGAAGAUGAAUCCUCAAAUCAAAUUGAAUUACGCCUCAUGGCUCUUAAAGAGAUAAAGGUAAGUUCUUCAUCUUGUGAACUUAAUUCAUAUGCUUUUGAUGAAUUGCAUGAUGUUUUUGAUGAAUUGCAUGAUGCUUUUAAAGAUUUAGCAUUUGAGUUUGAGAAAAUGAAUAUGAAGCACAAGAAAAUUAUUUCCAUACUCGAUGUUGAGAAUGAAUUUUUUAUGAAAGCAAAAAUUGACUUGGAAAAAGAAAAUGAAAAUUUGGAAAAGGAUUUUGAAGCUUACGAAAAGAAAAUUGAUAUUUUGGAAAAAGGAAAUUUGAAGAUUUAUUAAAUGAGAAAAAAAAAAGGCUUGCAUGAAUUCCUCAUCUUCCAAAAUGACAAAAUGCAAUCAUUGCACAUUUUUUCGUUAUUAUUCAUAAACUUGUCCAAUUAAAAAUAUUUACCUUAUAAAUUUAGACAAGUGUGGGUUCCAAAAGGAACUUUAUGCAACAAAACUAACUUUCAAGGAUCCAAAGUAAUUUAGAUACCAAAAAUCAAAUGAAAAAUGUCUUUUGUGGGUGUGCUAGAGCAAGAAGGAACAACUCUUGAAGAAUGAAUGCUCUCAAAUCACACAUAAAGGAAAAUGGGUGAUUUUUAUGCUAAAAUUUUUUUAAAUGAGAAUCUUGAUUGCUUAUUUAUUGAAUGUUUCAUUCAUUUGGCUUGGUUUCUAAAAUUGUUUCCUUUUCUACAUUGAAAAUUUUGGUUGCCUAUUCUUGCUUGAAUAUUAAGUGCAUAAUUCCUUGAGCUUUAUUGAUAAAUCUUGGCUAUGCAACUUGAUUUGAUAUGAUACAUGCUAUAAGUUGCAAGGAAGUAUGAAUCUAAAGAUGGAGUAUGUACUUAUAUUUGAUCUUGAAUAUAUCAUCAUCCUUAUUUUGAGAAAAUAGUUUUAUUAAGAUUUCUUGAUUAUGGAAAAUUUGUUUCUAUAAAAUUUCCUCAUAUUUUGUGAAAUUAUUUCCAUACUACUUCUUUAAGGAAAAAUGAUUUUUGAGCAUAGUUUUGAAACAUAAAGGUUGGAUAAUGUGAUAGAAAUAUGAGCAUACUUGAUGACUUACACUCACACUUAUUCAAGUAGCCUAAAACGAAGAAAAUUGAGUUAAAAAAAUUGUCCUUGAUUUCCUUGUGGCUAACAUAAGUUGACCAUUUGAACAAUCUUGAUUUACAUUCUAGAACUUGCUUGAUUAGUUCAAGAUGGUUGACAAUGAGCUUGAAAAUUUUGACUACCUUAAUUGGUACUUUUAAAGCAAAAUGAGCUUAUAUGAGAAAAAUGUUGCCAUCCUUAAGUUUAUAAUGAUUUAUCAAUUGGAUAAGUUUGUUUCAUGAUGAAAGUACUUAUUGACUUGUUCUUAUUGGAUGUGCAUGCUCGCUUGUAAGCUUGAAUGGUCAUAAGGGCAUUUUUGGUACAUGAUUGUGAGAUAUUUGCAAAUGACCCUUGAUAUAAUACCUCAUACUUUGAUAUGGUGACUAAUAAAGCUUAUUGGAUGCCAAUUGAGGGUAAUUAUGAUGUUUAGAAAUGAUGAAAGAUGAAAGGAAUAGUUUGGGAUAAAAUAUUCCGCACACGAGAAAAUAAUAAUAAAAUAAUGAUAUUUUUAUCAAAAAAAAUUUGCAAGAUAAAAAGUGAUUCGGAAGUCAAUUGACGCAUAAUAAGGUAUUUUGGGUACCAAAGGGACAAGAGGAGACAAGAGGAAAUUUUUAAAAUAAAAUAAUAUUAAAAUAUUAUUAUUUUAUUCAGUGUCAAAAUUUUUCAUGAAGAAAGAGUAUAUGGUCAAUCUAAGUGGGGGAGAAGAAGAAUGAAAGAAAUUUCGAAGAAAAAUUACGUUAAUGGGGCCUACGUGUAUUCAUUAAAUAAAGAUAGCACGAGGUAAAUAAUAUUUUAAAUAUUAUGGGAACACCGCGUUGGGGUACAAACUUUAUAUUUCAUUUGUACAUAUGUAAAAGAAGAUAAUAGAAGAAAAUUGGAGAUUUAAAGAUUUUGGGAUGACUUAAUUAAAAGGAUGAGAACCUUGAAGGGUAAAAUAGUAAUUUUGUUACAAAGCUUGGUCAAAGCUUCUAAAGGAAGCUUUGACUCUUCUUUUUGUUCCUCAUGGCCGGCCAUCCAUGUAAGAAUUGCUGAAAAUGUAAGGCUUAUGUACAAAGAACGUAAAAGACAAAGAAAAUGAGGAGAAAAGAUGAGACAAUAGUGAAAUAGGGAGGAAAAGUCAAGUAAAGUGGCUUUAAAGGUUCCAAGCAAUUGUUGACUUGCAUUCUAACCACAUAGCGGGUCAAGGAAGACAAUAAAAGAAGAAUGAAUGAUGGUAUGGGCAGUCACAUGUGAAAGAAAUGAAAGAAAUAGAGAAUUUACAAGCAAGCUUUGUCAUUGUCGACCCCACUUGCAAACCAAAUCAAACAAAGUUUUAUCAAUUUCUUUUGUUACCAACCGGUUAUGGAGACUAGUUAUGGAGACAAAAGAGAGAGUCAAGUUAUUAGUAUUUUAUUUUAAAUCAUGUGUGAAAGUAAGGGGGGCCAACCAUUGAGAUGAAAGGCCAUAUAAAAGAAAAGAAAUGAAUGAAAAAUGAAAAAUGAAAAAUAGAAAAGAUAAGAAAGAAAUGAAAUGAAAAGUUAAGUCGGUUAAGUGAAGAAGAAAAAGGAAAGAGAGAAGUCGGUUGUGAGGGAGAGCAAAAGAAAAGAAAAAGAACAAAGGAAAGAAAAAAGAGAGAAAUAGUCGAGAGAGAGAAAAAGAAAGAAGAGAAAAGCCAAAUGGUGAGGAAGAAAAAAAAAAAAAAGAAAAGGAAGGGUGAAGAAGCUGAGUUGAGGAGACGGUUUUUCUGCCAUUUAGGGAAGAAAGAAGUAGUUGUGGCUGCUUAUUUUUGGAGGAAGAAUAGAGCAGCUUGGUUGCUGAUUCUGAGGUGGAUAUGAGCAGCUUUGGCUAUUGAAAAUUUUUGGUUGAAAGAAGCAAGAACUUGUUACCGGCGGUGAGAGGGAGAGAGAAGAGGAAAUUGUGGCCAGCUUGUGCAUGUAAGAAAGGAAAAAGAAAGACAAGUAGAGUGCUACUGACCGACGGGAGAGAGGAGAAAGAGAAAGAAAGAAAGGAACGAGAAAGGAAUAAAAGAAAAGAAAAAAAAAUAUGGGCAUAGCCCUAUAAGAAAAGAGUGGGCAUGGCCCAAUAGGAAGAAAUUGGAAGAGCCCAUGGAAAGGGCCCAAUGGAAAUAAGAAAAGAAAAGUCCAAAAUAGAAAAGGAGGAUUGAGACUUGGGCCAUCUAGCCCAAUUUAGAAGUGCUUAAGUGAAGAUAGUGCACUAUAGUUGCGUGCUAGAGGAAAUGACGAGCGACCGGCAAGUAGAAAUAGCGAUGUAAUACCCCGCUAUUGUGAGGUGAGUAGGGGGUGUAAAUUUUAAAAUUUUCGUAAAUAUGUACCUAUACGUAUGAUUUAUUUUAAACGUGAAAAUUUUGAAUAGCAUGUGCUGGUAACAAUCUUAGGAAAUUGUGAUUGCAAAUUAUGUUUAGAAGUCGUCUCGAAUAUAUAUAUAUAUGUAUAAAUUAUAUGUAAAGUAUUUUGAAAAUCGAGAAACAAGCCCUUCACACUGUUUUACCUUAAAAUCUGUGCCUUAUAUUUGUGCAGUGUGCAUUUAUGAUUAUAUUGUUUACUCACCAUGCAAAUCACUAUUUGAAAUUCAUGCAUAAAUUUUAUUUUGAGAAAAUGAUAGAUUUUAUAAGACCCAAUAUUUGACGUUUUGAAAAUAAUUCGGCAUGAAUUUUCAAGGACGCAAUGUAAAUUUUUUUAAAAAUGUUUUGGACAAAUCGAGAGCAUCGAGAGUAGGCCGAAUGUCACAUCAAUUAAGUGUGACCCUCGUGCACGAGUGAGCUCUAGCUAGAGAACCAUUGGGUCACUGACGGGCGGUUAGGCGUGGUUGGGGCCACGGCUUGUGAUAUAUGUAUGCAUGGCUAAGCCACCAGAUGAUUACACGAUUACGACCGCUUGAUAUCUCCGAUGUUGGCCAAUAUCGUUGAGAUCGCCAUGGCAUAUGGGAAUCCGGUGGAAGCGAUGCUUCCGGAUGUUAUUACGUGGUAGCGGGACCAUGAGUUUAUUUUCAUUCCCUACUCGAGAGUGGCAUCUCUGGGUUUUUAAACUCAUAUUUCUUUGCAUGGUGAAAGCAAAAUUUAACGGUUUUUCUGUAGCUCCCCUAUUUUAUGGUGAAAUGAAUUUUAACUCCUCGAGUGCGAGGUGAUUUAUGAUUUACGUAUGAGUUUGAUUAACAUUCAAUUUCAUGGGAGCUUGCCGAACAUAUUGAUUUGAUUUGAGUAAAAUGUCAAUUGAUAUUGACGAUGAAAUUUUCUUUAUGUAAAAUUGUUUUAAUUCAAUAUUUCAAAUGAUUGUCUUGAAUAAGGUUAUUUGUGAGACCUCAACCUCUAUAGGCCUGUAACUAAGUAUAGAUGUAAUAAUACGAGCCAGGGGUAGUUUCGUUAUUUUCUCUAAUAAGCUUUUAGAAAAAAGUUUUAUGAUAUUUUAAGUCUUAAAUGGGUAUAAGACUGCAUAAAUGAUGUGUGCUGAUGAAAACACGAAGAAAACUAGAAGUUUCAACAAUUUUCAUAACAGGGGCAAAGUGGUCAUUUUUUACCUUGGGUUAAAAUUUUACGUUUUUAUGAACCCGAACAUGUCUAGACCCUUAUGGAUCUUGUCCCAGUGUUAAAAGAGCAAAAAGAUUGCAUAAAAGAUUGGAGGAGAAUAAAAUAAUUGGUGGAAGGGUAAAUUGGUAAUUUUAUGAGAAAAGAUAAGAUUGCCUAUAAAUACCUUGAAUUUCCAGCAGCUUCUUGAAUUUUCCAGCAGCUGGUCUUCUUCUUCCCUUCUCCUCUCUCACGUUUCUUUAAACUCCAUGGAAGCUUGAUUUUCAAACUUCCACAACUUUCUCUCUCUAGCUCCAAUUUUCAUGCUUUUGGUGCACCCUUCCAUAAACCCUCGUGCUAUUUCAUCUCCUUACUUUAAAAAUCUUGAAAUAUCUUGUUUUCAUACUUUCUCUCACUAUUUGGAAAUUCUAGAGUGAGAAAGAGAGAAUCACUCUAUUGAUUUGGAAGCUAUUGGAAGAGAAUCCAACUACAAAGGAACCCUAAGGUGAGUGAUGCACCAAGUUUGAUUUUUAGCUGCAGAAAAUGGCUAGUAAUUGUGAUUUAUGAGUUGUUUUAUUGUUUAGUAUGUUUAUUACUUUUUAGUGAUUAAGAUAGUGAACAUAGAUAGCCAUUUAAAGUGGCAAUUGAAAACUAGCUAAGAGAUAGCUUUUAGAGUUCAUAGUGUGUAAGUUGAUCUAUUGCUUAUGUUAAUGUGAUCCUAGGUUUUUAAGGAAGCACCAUCAUUCCAAUUGGAUCAUUAGGGGAAUUUGAGUCAACUAAAAGUUCUACAAUCAAUUGGUGACUGGACUACCUUUAAAACUGAUUUUGGGAAUAUGAUGGAUUUGACAAAGUGUUUGAAUGAUUUUAUAAAAUUUUUCAUGAAAAUGAAUGCCUUGGGAACAAGCUUUUGAGAAAACGUUUAUGUUAUGAAAUGUGAUUAUUAUGGAUUUCUAUGUGGCUGUAUUAUGUUGAUAUACAUAUAUGCUUGAGUAUAAUGUUGUGUAAUUAUAUUGACUCGGCUAUGUGCGAGUAGGGAGUGCGCAUAACCCAGUGAUGACCUAGCCAUGUGCGAGUAAGGAGUGCGCAUGAGCUGGUGAUGAUGAUGAUGGGUAUAUAUGUGUAUAUAUAUAUAUAUAUAUAUAUAGUNAUUGUUUGCUUUUCUACAUUGAAAAUUUUAGUUGUCUAUUCUUGCUUGAAUAUUAAGUGCAUAAUUCUUUGAGCUUUAUUGAUCAAUCUUGGCUAUACAACUUGAUUUGAUAUGAUACAUGCUAUAAGUUGCAAGAAAGUAUGAAUCUAAAGAUUGAGUAUGUACUUAUAUUUGAUCUUGAAUAUGUCAUCAUCCUUAUUUUGAGAAAAUUGUUUUAUUAAGAUUGAUUGAUUAUGGAAAAUUGUUUCUAUAAAAUUUCCUCAUGAUUUAUGACAUUGUUUACAUACUACUUCUUUGAGGAAAAAUGAUUUUUGAGCAUAAUUUUGAAACAUAAAUGGUUGGAUGAUAGAAAUUUGAGCAUACUUGAUGACUUACACUCACAACUAUUUAAGUAGCCUAAAACAAGGAAAAUUAAGUUAAAAAAAAAAUUUCCUUGUGUCUAGCAUAAGUUGACCAUUUGAACAAUCUUGAUCUACAUUCUAGAACUUAUUUGAAUAGUUCAAGAUGGUUGAUAAUGAGCUUGAAAGUUUUGACUACUUGAAUUGGUACUUUUAAAGCAAAAUGAGCUUAUAUCAAAAAAUGUUGCCAUCCUUUAAGUUUAGAAUGAUAUAUGAAUUGAACAAGUUUGUUUCAUAAUGAAAAAUACUUAUGACUUGUUCUUAUUGGAUGUGCAUGUUCGCUUGUAAGCUUGAAUGGUCAUAAGAGCAUUUUUGGUACAUGAUUGUGAGAUAUUUGCAAAUGACCCUUGACAUGUAUAUACAUGAUUCAUUAUGCCUAUUACUUAUUUCAUAAAUCAUUUAGAGCAUAAUUUAACAAAAUUGAGUGACAUUGAGCUCAUGAUUUUUCACAAAGCAAGUCUAAUCUUGAAUGUUUCAAGUUAAAAGUUUGUAAAGAAAGAUUAAAUCUUUAUCAAUUGAUUUUCUUGCAAAAUCUGUUUAUUCUCUUUGAUUGAAAUUGAUUCAUUGUUUUUGAUGAUAUAGCAUGGUUAAGCAAAAUUGAUUUGAUACAUGAAUUGCAUAAAUCCCAUUUUGCUUGAUAUUUCUCUCAUGAUUAGUGAAAUUGAUUGAAAGGGAUUUCUUAAGCAUGAUUUUGAGUGUGAUAAUUUGGCAUUGAUGGCAUUUUUCAAGCAAAGGAACAAAUCUUCUUGUAAAGCUUGAGGCUAUAAUGAUUUCAAUGAUAUAAAACUUGAACAAGUGUGCUUUUUGUUGAAAAUGCCAUUAUAUCUUGUUCUUGUUGCAAAUGAGUGCUUGAAUAACCAUAAGGGCUUUUUGGUCUAUACAUUGAAAAAUUGAUGAAAAUGUUAAACUUGAUGCUUAUUAUGCCUAACAUUGUUUAAAUACUUGUUGAACAUGUUAUAAGUCAUAGUCACGCAUCAUGAUGUAAAUUGAAUAUGUUUGAGCAUAUUAGAGACAUGAUUCUUCAAAUGAGCAUUUCAACUUUUUAGCACUUGUGAACAAUGAGCAAUAAAAGCUAAAAUUUGAGUUCACAUGUUUUUCUUGAAGAAUCUUUGAUCAUAUAUGUCCAAAAAGAUGUUCCAAACAUGGUUGAAAUGAAAUUCUAAAUUGUUCUCACACAAAUCCAUGUUUUAACAUCAUUAUGCCUCGGAACAUUGCAUGUUUUGCACCUUUUUCUAGCUUUUCAAUAUGCAGGAAUCAAGCAUAAUUGACUCCCUAACAUAGCUAGUAGACUAUUGUAGAACAAAAUGCAAACAAUGCUGCUAGAAUGAUCAAAAGUGGACCUAAGGGAUAUGUAAUCGACUCUUGAGUGCUCUAAAGCCAAAAUGGACAAGUUUUAUGUUCCAAAAUAUUUUUUUACUUUACUUCUUGUCCAUUGCAAUAUUUUCUUCCCUGAAUUUCCUUUUCAAAAAUGAUUCUUGACUCUUAAAAACAUGCAUUAUAAAUAUUUUCAUGAUAAUUUGGUGCAAUUACAUGUUUUUGAAAUUGCUAAACUUGCUGAAAAAUGGGAAAACUUUCUUGAUUGCUUAAAUCUAUCUACUGCCUGUUAGCUUCAAAAUUAUUCUAGUUUUGAUUAUGACAAAAUGAUGAAAUUUGCUUGAAUAUUAUUUGAGUAAUCCUUGACAAUUUCUUGAAAUGAUUUAACUCCCAUACAUUUGUUCCUACAUAGAUACAAGCUUGACUCUCGAAGUUAUUAAACUAUAUCUAUACACUUGUAUGACUUAGGUGUAUGAGUCAUAUGAUUCCUAUUCAUUAAAGUCUAAUUUAAAGAUCAAAGGAAAAUCUAGAUGCACUCAUUAAGGGGGAGUUUUGAAUAUCUUGUUUAAUGAUGAAAAAGAAAAAGGAGAGAAGGAAGACUAAAUAAAAUAGAGUUAAAUAGAUUUUCAUGUUUAAUUUAUGUGUGUGAUGCUUAGUUAUGAUUUUGUUGAAUAUUAUGUGAAGAAAAGUAGAUGCAUUGACUAAGGGGGAGCACCUCAUUAUGCAUAAAGAUUUGAAGCAUUCAACAUUGCAUUCUUAAUCUUGGAAUGUUUGUCAUCAUCAAAAAUAAAAGAUAGAGAAUGUUGACUCUAUAUGUUUUUUAUGAUAGCAAAAUAUUCCCAUUCAUUUGUGUCUAAUGGCUUUACUUGAGUGUGCAAGAAAAUUCAUAUAUGAAAUUAUUUAUUUAACUCUUCAAAGAGUAUAUCAAAAGAAAAAGAGGGAUGAAAAUAACAAAAUGUAACUGUCUAACAAGGAGGAAGCUUGUAAAACCCAACCCUAUAAAUACAUGUCAUGACAUACAUGCAUUGAGUAGCAUGUUAUUAUGUUAGAAAAGCACCUAAGAAUAGACGAAACUCGAUAUUGUACCUAACGGUACACUUAAAUUGAUUUAACCUCGAACUAGUUCAAAUAGGAAUUGUAGGAUAAAAUUUAAUAUUUUAUAGUCCAGGAAUGACUAAAAAUGAUUGUUCGGAGUCCGAGGGUUCAUUUGGGGUAAAAUUAGAAAUUUUGAUAUUCAAGGGCAAAAUCGUCAUUUUGCCACCUAAGAUAAUAAUUUGAUCAUGGAGUGAAAUUUUUGAACAAGAUUAACUAUUUGGAGUAUAAUUUAAUGAUAGGAAGUGAAAAAGUUUAAUUCUUGUGAUUUUUGGAGUGUAGGGGCAAAAUCGUAAUUUUGCCACCCACGGACAAAAUUUGAGAUUUUGAGAGAAUUUAGAUCAAAUUUGACAAAUUGGAGAAUGGUAUGAGUAUAAGGGAUGAAAAAUAUGUCUAUGGGCAAUUUUUCAAUUUUUGGGGCAAAAAUGUAAUUUUUGACUUUUACGGGGGCAAAAGUGUAAAUUUCAAAAAUUACUCCACCGAGACUUUGGAUGAGUCUGAGAAUUUUAUCUAAGCUAUGAAUAUAUGAGACAAGUGUAUGGUGAAAAUUUGGAAACAAAUGGAUGAAAUUUUAAAAAUGGGCCAAUGGGAAAGUGACACGUGGCAUUUUUUAAUGAAAUAAUAUUAUUUUAAUGAAAAGUCAGCCAUUUAAACCCAAAUUUUGAGUGCUGGCCGGCCAUAAGGAAGAAAAAGAGAGGAAAUAGAGAGGAAAGGAAGAAAAAAAGAAAAACCAAAGAGAAACAAGAAAAUUCAAAGGGAAAUUCGCGGUUUUCGACCGUUUACGCGUCUAACGGUAAGAUUUUUCGAUUUUAGCUUGAUUUCUACCUUUCCUAUGCCUUUAUUUCCAUUUAGCAUGCUUGAGGAGAGAGAUCAAAAAGUGAUAUCAAGGGCUGGACGAAAUUCUAGGGGAGAGAAAUUGAAAUUUUUAGGUUUUGAUUUUUAGUUAAAUUGAUAGUUUUAGUUAGUUAAAUGUGUUUAGAAAUUAAAUUGGGCAAGAAAUCAUUAAAUUUUCACAAUACCCACUCUUGGCUGGAUGCUCAAUGCUGUACAAUGAUGAUGAAUUGAUUUUAUUCUAAGGAAAAUGAAGAGAAAAUGAUGAAAAACGAUUAAACGUGAUAGAAAAACAAAGUAGAAAAUUAACCGAGUUAAUGUCCCAUUUUUGGCCGAAUUUUCCAAGGAAGGGAGUGAGCUGAUUUUGUUGUUUUUAGAAGGUUAUUGGCUGAUAUUUAAUGGUUAGAAAUGUUGGAGAGAGAAUGGGAUGAUUUAGAGCUAAAAUGGAGCGCGUUAGCAAUUUAUCGGGCAAAGUGCCAAAAAUAGGUUAAUACCGCGUUUAAGCCGUUUUAGGCUAUUGCAUUUCAUACCAUGCAUUAGUAUAGGAUUUAAGUUAAUUAUAUAGUGAUUUAGCAUCAAUGUGAUGAAUUGUGUAAAUUUUUGUAAUGUGUCUAGGAGGAGAGCCUUCCGGAAAAGGCAAAGAAGUCGUACCCGACGAGUAGUGAUCGGGGCGCUUAGAAAGCUUUUAGUUUGUACAAACGGUGAGUAAACUUAUUAUUAUUGUAAAUUAUCUAGAGUUUAUUUUUAAAUGCCCUUUAUGUAUUUUAUGAAAUGAAAACGAGAUUAAAACGGGAUUUUUGAUGUUUUAGGAAUAAAUGUGACAAAUAAAAAUAUAUUGUAUUGAUUAUGAAAUUGAGUAAUUGGAGGCUGCAAAUUGACUUGAAAAAUAUAUAUUUUCCUAGGAAUGGCUUAUGAGAAAUGAGUAUAUGUGGCUAUAUUUUGUGAGUGCAUUGGGAAAUUUAUGUAAGUUGUUUUUACUAUGCAGGCUGGAUAAAUAAAUAAAAGCCACGUUAUACUGUCGAAAUUUUAUUAAAAUUGGUGGGUUAGUCACUGCAGUGACGGGUUUCCGUGGACUGCCUAUUAGAGGGGCACGGUAAACCCAGUUAUAUAGUUACUCCGGUUGUAGAGGCGAGGAGGGUAACUCCCGGGGUAGUAUUAGAGCUCACUUCACGUCGAACCCCCACGUGAAUGUGUAACUCGGCCAACGCCAAGGAACGGCUGGUUUUAAAAAUAAAAAUGUGUUUCACGUGUGAAUAUUUUAACACCCUUGGCGGACUCGGUUAGAUGCCUCGGCCAAGGUAUCCCCGAGGAUUAGUUUUGGCUUGAGCCUUGUUUUAAUAAAAGACAUAAGCCUUAACAACUGUUUUGGUAAAUUACAAAUAUUUUAUGGUUUAAGAAAUAAAUUGAAAACAUUAUGAAAUGGGUUGAAAUUUGUUGUUUAAACUUGCCUCCAUUUUACUCGCCUUUAGAUAUUUAUGAUAAUGUCUGUUUACUCAUUGGGAUUGCAAAAUCUCACCCAACUCCUUUCCACCCAUUUCAGGUUCAGUAUAGACUGUAGAUAGCUGAUCUCAUCGAGGACUACCAUUGGAUCUGCAUUUUCCAAACCGUAGGUUCACAGUCCUCUUUACUUUUGUUUAUUCGGGGGCCCUCUUGUUAUUGUAAAUUAAAUUAAAUAUUUUGGCUUACUGUAUUUCAGUAUGUAUAAAUAUAUUUAGCUUUUACGCUAUAAAAAUUAUUCACGUAUAACUCUAUAAAUAUUGUUUUAUAAGAAAAUAGAAUAUUUUUCUUAAUAUUUCUUUUAUUUUCUUAUUAUAUUCAAAUAAUCGUAAUUUCGUUUUAAAUGAAGAUUUUAGACUUUUAAACUCAUUUUGAAUAUGAAUUAUGUGUUUUGUACUUGUAUAUUACGUUUUAGCCAGUUUCGAAAUUUUUGAAAAAAAAAUGACCAAAAUACCCCUAUGUGGCGAAAAUUUUAUUUUGAUUGUUUUUGAUCUAAAAUAGUAUAUAUUCUAUAAAAACUCGAUAUUUAACAAUGUUGCUCACAAGAAAGGAAAGAAACUGAUAUGUAAGCCUUGCGGGGUUCCGGUUGGCAUUCCGGAUAAUGAGUGUUAAUCGGGACGUCGCGGUGAUUGUCAUGGGCUUGAGGGAGGUUCCGGGUCAUGACAAUUCUAUUGGUAUCAGAGCUUUUGGUUUUAAAGAUAAGAGUUUUUGGUUUUAAAGUGGUUUUCAAAAAUUACAAUAUCAGUGUGGCCUCGGAUUAAGUUAAGUUAGGUUGAAUAGAAUGCAUGCAUUUUCAUAUAGAGCCUAAGGUUCCCUAAGCUUGCUCGUUUUCUCUUAUAAAUUAUUAUGCCUCCUCGACGCGGACGCCCACCUCUCACUAGAUCGGUUGGGAGGGGAAAAGGUCGUUCCCAAUGUCGUCAGCUAGAUGCAGUAGGGGAAGAAUCGGCUGCCUCUACCAUUCGGGCAGCACCUACUGCUGAGCAGGCCGAUAGUCCUCCACAUCCUCCACCUCCUCCGCCACCUACGGGUAUUCCCACCAUGCCUACUGAGGCAGCACAAGCAUUAGCAGCUUUCUUUACCGCAAUGGCUGGUGGAGCUCCGACUGGUCAAGUUCCACCUAUAGUACCACCAGUUACUCCUUUAGUUUCACCACCGGUACAAGAUGUAUCCAUUUCCAAGAAGCUAAAGGAGGCUAGACAGCUUGGUUGUGUGUCUUUCACGAGUGAGUUGGAUGCCACUGUGGCAAAGGACUGGAUUAAUCAGGUUUCAGAGACUCUCUCUGAUAUGAGAUUAGACGAUGACAUGAAGCUGAUGGUGGCUACAAGAUUAUUAGAGAAGAGGGCUCGUACUUGGUGGAAUUCAGUGAAGUCCCGUUCCAUUACUCCUCAAACGUGGCCCGAUUUUCUCAGGGAAUUUGAUGGUCAGUAUUUCACUUAUUUUCAUCAAAAAGAAAAGAAGAGAGAAUUUUUGAGUUUGAAACAGGGGAAUCUAACUGUAGAGGAGUACGAGACUCGUUUUAACGAGUUAAUGUUAUAUGUGCCGGAUCUGGUGAAAUCUGAGCAGGAUCAGGCCAGUUAUUUCGAGGAAAGGCUCCGUAAUGAGAUUAGAGAGCGGAUGACAGUGACUGGUAGGGAGCCACAUAAGGAGGUGGUACAGAUGGCUUUACGAGCUGAGAAGCUCGCGACUGAGAAUAGAAGGAUUCGAACUGAGUUUGCAAAAAGGAGGAAUCCUGGUAUGUCUUCUAGUCAGCCAGUAAAAAGAAGCAAGGACUCAGCGAUUUCAGGGAGUACUACUUCUGUUUUCGUGACAUCUCAUCGACCUUCAUUUCCACCAUCACAACAGAGACCUUCGAGGUUUAGCAGAUCUGCUAUAACUGGUUCUGGGAAGAGUUUCGGAGGUUCUGACAUAUGCAAAAAUUGUGGGAAUUAUCAUAGUGGGCUAUGUAGAGGGCCAACAAGAUGUUUCCAAUGUGGACAGACGGGUCAUAUUAGGAGUAAUUGCCCACGGUUAGGACGAGCCACGGUAGUUGCAUCAUCUUCACCAGCUCGCACUGAUAUACAGAUGAGAGAUUCUUCUGGGUUGCCACCGAGACAGGGACUGGCCAUACGGUCCGGUGUGGAGAGUAAUACCCCGACACAUCCACCUUCGAGACCAUAGACUCGUACCUCGACAAGAGUUUUUACUGUGACGGAAGAUGAGUCACGGGUCCGACCUGGAACAGUGACAAGUACUAUGUCUUUAUUUGAUAAAGAUGCUUAUGUUUUGAUAGAUUCUGGCUCAGAUAGGUCUUAUGUGAGCACCACAUUUGCAUCAAUUGCUGAUAGAAACUUGUCACCAUUAGAGGAAGAAAUUGUAAUUCACACCCCUUUAGGAGAAAAGCUAGUUAGAAACAGUUGUUAUAGAGAUUGUGGGGUAAGGGUAGGCGAGGAAGAAUUUAGGGGUGACUUAAUUCCUCUAGAGAUCCUGGAUUUUGAUCUAAUAUUAGGUAUGGACUGGUUAACUGCACAUCGGGCGAACGUGGAUUGUUUCUGAAAAGAAGUUGUUCUUCGAAAUUCGGAGGGAGCAGAGAUUGUGUUUGUAGGGAAACGUCGAGUAUUACCAUCUUGUGUAAUUUCGGCCAUCAAAGCUUCGAAAUUAGUGCAGAAAAGGUAUCCGGCUUAUUUGGCAUACGUAAUUGAUACUUCAAAGGGGGAACCUCAGUUAGAGGAUGUCCCAAUAGUAAGUGAGUUUUCUGAUGUAUUUCCUGAUGAUUUACCGAGACUGCCUCCUGAUCGAGAGCUUGAGUUCCCUAUUGAUUUACUUUCGGGUAUCGCACCUAUUUCUAUCCUUCCAUAUAGAAUGGCUCCGACAGAGUUGAAGGAGUUGAAAGUACAAUUGCAAGAGUUGGUGGACAAGGGUUUUAUACGCCCUAGUAUAUCUCCGUGGGGAGCACCGAUUUUAUUUGUGAAAAAGAAAGACGGUACACUUCGGUUAUGUAUCGAUUACCGACAGCUUAACAGAAUGACCAUUAAGAACAAGUAUCCGUUACCGAGGAUUGAUGAUCUUUUCGAUCAAUUACAGGGAGCUACAGUGUUUUCCAAGGUUGAUCUAAGGUCUGGGUAUCAUCAGUUGAGGAUUAAAGAACAGGAUGUACCCAAGACAGCGUUCAGGACUCGGUACGGUCAUUAUGAGUUCUUGGUCAUGCCUUUCGGGUUAACUAACGCACCGGCAGCUUUUAUGGAUCUCAUGAAUAGGGUGUUCCACCCUUACUUGGACAAGUUUGUUAUUGUGUUCAUUGAUGACAUACUGGUUUACUCGAGAGAUAAUGAUGAGCACGCUGCCCACUUGCGUAUAGUAUUACAAACUUUGAGGGAAAGACAGUUGUAUGCAAAGUUUUCGAAGUGUGAGUUUUGGUUACAGGAAGUGGUAUUCUUGGGACACGUAGUAUCGAGAACUGGAAUAUAUGUUGAUCCUAAGAAAGUAGAGGCAAUUUUACAAUGGGAGCAACCUAAGACAGUGACGGAGAUUCGUAGUUUCCUCGGAUUAGCCGGUUAUUAUCGGAGGUUUGUUCAGGGGUUUUCCUUAAUAGCAGCUCCUUUGACCCGUCUAACUCGUAAGGGAGUUAAGUUUGUGUGGGAUGAUGUUUGUGAGAAUCGAUUUCAGGAGCUAAAGAACCGGUUAACCUCCGCUCCCGUUUUAACACUUCCUGUUAAUGGUAAGGGAUUUGUAGUAUAUAGUGAUGCCUCAAAGUUGGGGUUGGGGUGCGUAUUGAUGCAGGAUGAAAAAGUUGUGGCUUAUGCUUCUAGACAGCUAAAGAGGCAUGAAGCAAAUUACCCUACCCAUGAUUUAGAGUUAGCAGCAGUGGUGUUUGCUUUAAAAAUCUGGAGGCAUUACUUGUAUGGUGAGCAUUGUCGGAUAUUUACGGAUCACAAGAGUUUAAAAUAUUUGCUCACCCAAAAGGAGCUUAAUUUGAGGCAAAGGCGAUGGUUGGAGUUGAUAAAAGAUUAUGACUUGGUGAUAGACUAUCAUCCGGGAAAGGCGAACGUUGUAGCUGAUGCCUUAAGUCGUAAGUCUUCAUCGUCUUUAGCAGCACUUCAGAGUUGUUAUUUUCCAGCAUUAAUAGAGAUGAAAUCUCUUGGGGUCCAGUUGAGAAAUGGUGAGGAUGGAUCCUUAUUGGCAAACUUCAUUGUGCGACCUUCGUUACUUAAUCAGAUCAAGGACAUUCAGAGGUCUGAUGAUGAGUUAAGAAAAGAAAUUCAAAAACUGACCGAUGGGGGAGUCAGUGAGUUCAGAUUUGGAGAGGAUAACGUCUUGAUGUUUAAAGAUCGAGUUUGUGUUCCUGAGGGAAACCAGUUGAGACAAGCGAUCAUGGAAGAAGCCCAUUCAUCUGCCUAUGCAUUACAUCCCGGAAGCACCAAGAUGUAUAGGACUAUCAGGGAGAAUUAUUGGUGGCCGGGUAUGAAGCGAGACGUAGCAGAAUUCGUAGCAAAGUGUCUCGUAUGUCAGCAAGUUAAGGCGGAGCAUCAGAGGCCAGCAGGUACACUUCAGUCUUUACCUGUUCCCGAGUGGAAAUGGGAGCAUGUAACUAUGGAUUUUGUUUUGGGAUUGCCGCGGACACAGAGGGGAAAGGAUGCGAUUUGGGUGAUCGUAGAUCGGUUGACUAAGUCCGCUCACUUUUUAGCUGUCCAUAGUACAUACUCUAUUGAGAAGCUGGCUCAGCUCUAUAUAGAUGAGAUUGUGAGGCUACAUGGAGUUCCCGUUUCUAUAGUGUCAGACCGAGAUCCUCGAUUCACUUCUCGAUUCUGGCCAAAAUUUCAAGAAGCUCUCGGAACCAAAUUGAAAUUUAGCACUGCUUUUCACCCACAGACGGAUGGUCAGUCAGAGAGGACUAUCCAGACCUUGGAGGAUAUGUUACGGGCUUGUGUCAUUGACUUUAUUGGGAGUUGGGACAGACAUUUGCCAUUGGUGGAAUUUGCUUACAACAAUAGCUUUCAGUCUAGCAUUGGUAUGGCACCAUACGAAGCUUUAUAUGGAAGGAAAUGUCGUACUCCACUUUGUUGGGAUGAAGUGGGUGAAAGAAAGUUAGUGAGUGUGGAAUUGAUCGAGCUAACUAAUGACAAGAUCAAGGUUAUACGAGAGAGGCUAAAGGUAGCCCAGGAUAGGCAGAAGAGCUAUGCAGAUAAACGGAGAAAAGACUUGGAGUUUGAGAUCGAUGAUAAAGUUUUUCUUAAGGUUUCUCCUUGGAAAGGUAAUAAUUUGAAUACUUUGAAGUAUUAAAUCUUAUUGAUUAUACUAUCAUGAUAAAUUAUGGUGUUUUAUUGGAUAAUGAAAGGUGUGAUUCGAUUUGCGAAGAGGGGAAAGCUCAACCCGAGAUAUAUUGGACCAUUCCGAAUCAUUGAAAGGAUUGGACCAGUGGCUUAUCGGUUAGAAUUACCUCCGGAGUUAGAUCGGAUCCACAACGUUUUCCAUGUCUCCAUGCUUAAGAAAUAUGUACCAGAUCCCUCUCACGUCCUCGAAGCACCUCCGAUCGAGUUGCAUGACGAUUUGAAGUUCGAGGUACAACCUGUGAGUAUCUUGGAUCGAAAGGAUCGAGUACUGAGAAACAAGAGUAUUUCAAUGGUCAAAGUGUUGUGGAAAAGUGCUCGAAUGGAGGAAAUGACAUGGGAAGUAGAGCAUCAGAUGAGGAACCAAUACCCGCAUCUAUUUGUCGAAUCUGGUAAGUGAAAUUUUGAGGUCAAAAUUUUAUUUUAAGGGGGGUAGAAUUGUAAAACCCGACCCUAUAAAUACAUGUCAUGACAUACAUGCAUUGAGUAGCAUGUUAUUACGCUAGAAAAGCACCUAAGAAUAGACGAAACCUGAUAUUGUACCUAACGGUACACUUAAAUUGAUUUAACCUCGAACUAGUUCAAAUAGGAAUUGUAGGAUGAAAUUUAAUAUUUUAUAGUCCAGGAAUGACUAAAAAUGAUUGUUCGGAGUUCGAGGGUUCAUUUGGGGUAAAAUUAGAAAUUUUGAUAUUCAAGGGCAAAAUCGUCAUUUUGCCACCUAAGAUAAUAAUUUGAUCAUGGAGUGAAAUUUUUGACCAAGAUUAACUAUUUGGAGUAUAAUUUAAUGAUAGGAAGUGAAAAAGUUUAAUUCUGGUGAUUUUUGGAGUGUAGGGGCAAAAUCGUAAUUUUGCCACCCACGGACAAAAUUUGAGAUUUUGAGAGAAUUUAGAUCAAAUUUGACAAAUUGGAGAAUGGUAUGAGUAUAAGGGAUGAAAAAUAUGUCUAUGGGCAAUUUUUCAAUUUUUGGGGCAAAAAUGUAAUUUUUGACUUUUACGGGGGCAAAAGUGUAAAUUUCAAAAAUUACUCCACCGAGACUUUGGAUGAGUCUGAGAAUUUUAUCUAAGCUAUGAAUAUAUGAGACAAGUGUAUGGUGAAAAUUUGGAAACAAAUGGAUGAAAUUUUAAAAAUGGGCCAAUGGGAAAGUGACACGUGGCAUUUUUUAAUGAAAUAAUAUUAUUUUAAUGAAAAGUCAGCCAUUUAAACCCAAAUUUUGAGUGCUGGCCGGCCAUAAGGAAGAAAAAGAGAGGAAAUAGAGAGGAAAGGAAGAAAAAAAGAAAAACCAAAGAGAAACAAGAAAAUUCAAAGGGAAAUUCGCGGUUUUCGACCGUUUACGCGUCUAACGGUAAGAUUUUUCGAUUUUAGCUUGAUUUCUACCUUUCCUAUGCCUUUAUUUCCAUUUAGCAUGCUUGAGGAGAGAGAUCAAAAAGUGAUAUCAAGGGCUGGACGAAAUUCUAGGGGAGAGAAAUUGAAAUUUUUAGGUUUUGAUUUUUAGUUAAAUUGAUAGUUUUAGUUAGUUAAAUGUGUUUAGAAAUUAAAUUGGGCAAGAAAUCAUUAAAUUUUCACAAUACCCACUCUUGGCUGGAUGCUCAAUGCUGUACAAUGAUGAUGAAUUGAUUUUAUUCUAAGGAAAAUGAAGAGAAAAUGAUGAAAAACGAUUAAACGUGAUAGAAAAACAAAGUAGAAAAUUAACCGAGUUAAUGUCCCAUUUUUGGCCGAAUUUUCCAAGGAAGGGAGUGAGCUGAUUUUGUUGUUUUUAGAAGGUUAUUGGCUGAUAUUUAAUGGUUAGAAAUGUUGGAGAGAGAAUGGGAUGAUUUAGAGCUAAAAUGGAGCGCGUUAGCAAUUUAUCGGGCAAAGUGCCAAAAAUAGGUUAAUACCGCGUUUAAGCCGUUUUAGGCUAUUGCAUUUCAUACCAUGCAUUAGUAUAGGAUUUAAGUUAAUUAUAUAGUGAUUUAGCAUCAAUGUGAUGAAUUGUGUAAAUUUUUGUAAUGUGUCUAGGAGGAGAGCCUUCCGGAAAAGGCAAAGAAGUCGUACCCGACGAGUAGUGAUCGGGGCGCUUAGAAAGCUUUUAGUUUGUACAAACGGUGAGUAAACUUAUUAUUAUUGUAAAUUAUCUAGAGUUUAUUUUUAAAUGCCCUUUAUGUAUUUUAUGAAAUGAAAACGAGAUUAAAACGGGAUUUUUGAUGUUUUAGGAAUAAAUGUGACAAAUAAAAAUAUAUUGUAUUGAUUAUGAAAUUGAGUAAUUGGAGGCUACAAAUUGACUUGAAAAAUAUAUAUUUUCCUAGGAAUGGCUUAUGAGAAAUGAGUAUAUGUGGCUAUAUUUUGUGAAUGCAUUGGGAAAUUUAUGUAAGUUGUUUUACUAUGCAGGCUGGAUAAAUAAAUAAAAGCCACGUUAUACUGUCGAAAUUUUAUUAAAAUUGGUGGGUUAGUCACUGCAGUGACGGGUUUCCGUGGACUGCCUAUUAGAGGGGCACGGUAAACCCAGUUAUAUAGUUACUCCGGUUGUAGAGGCGAGGAGGGUAACUCCUGGGGUAGUAUUAGAGCUCACUUCACGUCGAACCCCCACGUGAAUGUGUAACUCGGCCAACGCCAAGGAACGGCUGGUUUUAAAAAUAAAAAUGUGUUUCACGUGUGAAUAUUUUAACACCCUUGGCGGACUCGGUUAGAUGCCUCGGCCAAGGUAUCCCCGAGGAUUAGUUUUGGCUUGAGCCUUGUUUUAAUAAAAGACAUAAGCCUUAACAACUGUUUUGGUAAAUUACAAAUAUUUUAUGGUUUAAGAAAUAAAUUGAAAACAUUAUGAAAUGGGUUGAAAUUUGUUGUUUAAACUUGCCUCCAUUUUACUCGCCUUUAGAUAUUUAUGAUAAUGUCUGUUUACUCAUUGGGAUUGCAAAAUCUCACCCAACUCCUUUCCACCCAUUUCAGGUUCAGUAUAGACUGUAGAUAGCUGAUCUCAUCGAGGACUACCAUUGGAUCUGCAUUUUCCAAACCGUAGGUUCACAGUCCUCUUUACUUUUGUUUAUUCGGGGGCCCUCUUGUUAUUGUAAAUUAAAUUAAAUAUUUUGGCUUACUGUAUUUCAGUAUGUAUAAAUUUAUUUAGCUUUUACGCUAUAAAAA
rnacentral:lncRNA from 1 species